rnacentral:rRNA from 1 species
UACGUAGGGUGCAAGCGUUAAUCGGAAUUACUGGGCGUAAAGCGUGCGCAGGCGGUUCGUUAUGUCCGAUGUGAAAGCCCCGAGCUUAACUUGGGAAUGGCAUUGGAAACUGGCGGGCUGGAGUGCGGCAGAGGGGGGUGGAAUUCCACGUGUAGCAGUGAAAUGCGUAGAGAUGUGGAGGAACACCGAUGGCGAAGGCAGCCCCCUGGGCCGACACUGACGCUCAGGCACGAAAGCGUGGGGAGCAAACAGG